rnacentral:tRNA from 1 species
GGGCAUUUGGUCUAGUGGUAUGAUUCUCGCUUUGGGUGUGAGAGAUCUUGGGUUCAAUUCCUGGAAUAUCUU